GGUGGUUCAGUGGUAGAGCGCUUGCCUUGCAUGCAGGAGGCACUGGGUUUGAUUCCCCAGCACCA
rnacentral:tRNA from 1 species